GGGGGUAUAGCUCAAGGGUAGAGCAUUUGACUGUAGAUCAAGAGGUCCCCAGUUCAAAUCUGGGUGCCCCUG
rnacentral:tRNA from 2 species